UACGUAGGGAGCAAGCGUUGUCCGGAAUCAUUGGGCGUAAAGCGCGCGUAGGUGGCCUCAUAAGUCCGUUGUGAAAGUCAAAGGCUCAACCUUUGAAAGCCGAUGGAUACUGUGAGACUAGAGUACGGAAGAGGCGAGUGGAAUUCCUGGUGUAGCGGUGGAAUGCGCAGAUAUCAGGAGGAACACCAAUAGCGAAGGCAGCUCGCUGGGACGGUACUGACACUGAGGCGCGAAAGCGUGGGGAGCGAACAGG
rnacentral:rRNA from 1 species